rnacentral:rRNA from 1 species
AACGUAGGAGACAAACGUUAUCCGGAGUUACUGGGCGUAAAGGGCGUGUAGGUGGUAGUGUAAGUCUGGCGUGAAAUUUUUCGGCUUAACCGGGAAAGGUCGUCGGAUACUGCACAACUAGAGGACGGUAGAGGCGUGUGGAAUUCCGGGUGUAGUGGUGAAAUGCGUAGAGAUCCGGAGGAACACCAGUGGCGAAGGCAGCUCGCUGGGACGUCACUGACGCUGAGACGCGAAAGCGUGGGGAGCAAACAGG